CAGACGAUGCGUCAUGCAUAUCAAUAAGCGGAGGAAAAGAAACUAACAAGGAUUCCCCUAGUAACGGCGAGUGAAGCGGGAAGAGCUCAAAUUUGAAAUCUUAAAGGGUUUCCCUUUACGAAUUGUAGUUUAAAGAAGUGUUUUCUGUUGAGGUUUUGGUAAAAGUUCUUUGGAAUAGGACAUCAUAGAGGGUGAGAAUCCCGUAUUUGACCUUUACUUUCAACUUUGUGAUACACUUUCAAAGAGUCGGAUUGUUUGGGAAUGCAGUCCAAAAUGGGUGGUAAAUUUCAUCUAAAGCUAAAUAUUGGCGAGAGACCGAUAGCGAACAAGUACCGUGAGGGAAAGAUGAAAAGAACUUUGAAAAGAGAGUUAAACAGUACGUGAAAUUGUCAAAAGGGAAGCGUUUGACACCAGUGUUGUUUUUCUGAAAAUCAAUUAAAGAACUGUUUAUGCUAAGCUGUUUAGACUUUAUCAGCUAUCUGCUUAGUUUCGAGCUUUUCUUUAAUGCACUUUUCAGUUAACAAGUCAACAUCAAUUUCUUUUGCUGUAAAAAAGCUUGAGGAAGGUGGCUUGAGAUUCGUCUUAAGUGUUUAUAGCCUCUUGCCUAUGCAGUCGGAGAGAUUGAGGUCUGCAGCGUAGAUCCUUCGGGGCUAAAUGCAUUUGUGCUAAGUUAUAGCAUUUUAUAGACAACUUGUUGACUAUGAUUUGUCUUGUAGCUUACUCGCUUAUGUUAUUUUACCUACGCUUAGGAUGUUGACACACGCGCGUGCUCG
rnacentral:rRNA from 1 species